rnacentral:misc_RNA from 1 species
AGAGAAUUUAUUGUUGGAGAGAUCAAGAAUUCGCAGACGUAAAAGUUUCGAUAAUUCAAAGGGAACCUCACCGCAAAACUGAUUGUUUCCAAGGUCAAGAAUUUCCAGUUUCUUGCAGUCAACAAUCUGGGGAGGGAGUUGAUCAACUAGUUGAUUGUUUGGAAGAGAGAGUUCUUUGAGCUCCGAGAGGUGGCCAACCGCAGGAGACAAGAACCCAGUGAGGCGUUGGGACUUAAAGAUGAGUCUAGUGAUUUUGAGUACAUAGGUGUUGUUGUUAGAGAGCCUCCUCUCGCAGAACACACCUGGAUUGUCGCAAGGGGUGGUGGAGGGGCUG